AGGACGUCAUCCGACCCGGAGACAGGAGACAGGAGACAGGAGACGGGCUGCAUCAUGACUGCAAUGGAGGAGCAGGCAGAGACUGGCUGACUGAAUAACACUGAGAGAGCUGACUCAGUGGUUUAUACAGCAAAGCUGUGAGAGUGACUGACCUCCUAAACACGUCUCCAUUAGGGUGCUGUGAUCAAACAGCCAUGCCGCCCCCAGC